GCAUUUCGGCUGCCUAUCAUGCAAGUCGAGCGAAUGGAUUAGAAACUUGCUCUUCUUAAGGUAGAGUCGGACAGGUGAGUAACACAUGGGUAACCUGCCCAUAAGACUGGGAAAACUCCCGCAAACCAGGGCUAAUACCGGAUAACAUUUUGAACCGCAUGGGUCGGAAUUCAUCGGAGGCUUCCGCUGUCGCUUAUGGAUGGACCCGCGUCGCUUUAUCUAGGUGGUGAGGCACCGGCUCGCCACGGUCCCGAUGCGGAUCCAACCUGAGACCGGUGCAUCGGCCACACUGAGACUGAGACACGACCCCAUACUCCUACGGGAGGCGGCAAUAUGGAAUCUUCGCGCAGUGGACCAGAGUCUGACGGACCACCGCCGCGAUGAGUGAUGAACGCUUUCGGGUCGUAUAACUCUGUAGUUAAGGAAGAAUCAAGUGCUAGUUGAAUAAGCUGGACACCUUGCACGGUACCUAACCACAAAGCCACUGCUAACUACCUGCCACCAGCCGCGGUAAUACGUAGGUGGCAAGCGUAAUCCCGAAUUAUUGGGCGUGAGGCGCGCGCACGUGGUUUCUUAAGUCUGAUGUGAAGGCCCACGGCUCAACCGUGGAGGGUCAUUGCAAACUGGGAGACUUGAGUAGCAGAAGAGGAAAGUGGAAUUCCAUGUGUAGCGGUGCAAUGCUGUAGAGAUAUGGAGGAACACCAGUGGCGAAGGGGACUCUGUGGUCUGUAACUGACACUGAGGCGCGACAGCGUGGGGAGCAAACCGGACUAGAUACCAUGGCAGUCCACGCCGUAACCGAUGAGUGGUAAGUGUUAGAGGGUUUCCGCCCGUCAGUGCUGAGAGUCUAACGCAGUAAGCACUCCGCCGCGGGAGUACGGCCGGCAAGCGCUGAAACUCAAAGGAAUAGACGGGGGCCCGCACAAGCGGUCGGAGCAUGUGGUUUAAUUAGAAGCAACGCGAAGAACCUCCUCAGGUCCCGCCAUCCUCUGAAAGACCCCAGAGAUAGGGCUUCUCCUUCGGCAGCAGAGCGACAGCUGCGUGCAUGGUCAGUCGUCAGCUCGUGUCGUGAGAUGUUGGGGUAAGUCCCGCAACGAGCGCAACCCUUGAUCUUAGCUAGCCGAUCAUUAAGUUGGGCACUUUAAGGUGACUGCCGGUGACAAACCGGAGGAAGGUGGGGAUGACGUCAAAUCAUCAUGCCCCUUAUGACCUGGGCUACACACGUGAUACAAUGGUCGGUACAAAGAGUCGCCAGCCCGCGAGGUGGAGCCAAUCUCAUAAAACCGUUUUCAGUUCGGAUUGUCGGUUGCAACUUGCCUACAGGAAGCUGGAAUCGCUAGUAAUCGCGGAUCAGCAAGCCGCGGGGAAUACGUUCCCGGGCUUUGUACACCCCGCCCGUCACCCCCCGAGAGUGGUAACACCCGAAGUCGGUGGCGUAACCUUAUGGAGCCAGCCUCACAACGGUGACCAAGAAC
rnacentral:rRNA from 1 species